rnacentral:lncRNA from 1 species
AGACUUAAGGACUCAAUCUUUCGAUCAUCAUAGGACUACUCCUCUCAUCUAUCAAGGUUGAUAGAUCCCAUCUUGGUGCGAUCUGCUUCCUACAAUGGAUAUGCUAUAGCCAACAUACACCUCAAAAUUUUGAAUGGCUAGGAGAUCGAGUUAUGUGUAGUCAAACUAUAGCACACUCAAGAUAAACCGUCGAUGCACCUCAGGUCAAAGAACUAGACACACAACUACAGCAUCGAGCUAGUCAUCGAUGAGAAGGUAGAC